UUCAUGCCUUUUUUUAAGCCCUAUGAUGCUGUCAUGGGAUAACAGGGAAGGUCCUCUCAUGGAUUGGUAACUGGUUAAAAGAUAGGAAACAAAGGGUAGGAAUAAAUGGUCAGUUUUCAGAAUGGAGAGAGUAAAUAGUUGUGUCCCCCAAGAGCCUGUACUGGGACCAAUCCUGUUCAACAUAUUCAUAAAUGAUCUGAAAAAAGUGAGGUGGCAAAAUUUGCAGAUGA